AACGAACGCUGGCGGCAGGCUUAACACAUGCAAGUCGAGCGCCCCGCAAGGGAGCGGCAGACGGGUGAGUAACGCGUGGGAAUCUACCCAUCUCUACGGAAUAACGCAUGGAAACGUGUGCUAAUACCGUAUACGUCCUUCGGGAGAAAGAUUUAUCGGAGAUGGAUGAGCCCGCGUUGGAUUAGCUAGUUGGUGGGGUAAAGGCCUACCAAGGCGACGAGCCAUAGCUGGUCUGAGAGGAUGAUCAGCCACACUGGGACUGAGACACGGCCCAGACUCCUACGGGAGGCAGCAGUGGGGAAUAUUGGACAAUGGGCGCAAGCCUGAUCCAGCCAUGCCGCGUGAGUGAUGAAGGCCCUAGGGUUGUAAAGCUCUUUCACCGGUGAAGAUAAUGACGGUAACCGGAGAAGAAGCCCCGGCUAACUUCGUGCCAGCCGCCGCAGUAACAC
rnacentral:rRNA from 1 species